AAUCAUAAAUUUGUUUCUAGUGAAGAAUUUAAUUUUGUAGGCAAUGUGGCUUUUUAUUUGUGAUCCUAUUUGGACUCCUGUCAACCGUCCUCGUGAUCACCUACCUGCGAGAAAAGAGUAUGUUAAGAACUUUGUGCAGAAGGAAUCUGCCAAUCAGGCUGUUAUGCUGCUGCAGCUUGAAAUCUGGUUUUUGCUUUUAAAAACUUGGAACUAUUCUGUGGCUUCUUAUAAAAGAGUGAAAAAUGAAAAAUAGACAGAACUGUUGUGGCUCUUUUAAACACAGUAUGCUUGUGUGACUUGCUAUUAUAGAAUGAGUAUGUGGAA